rnacentral:rRNA from 1 species
GGUUUCCUGAAUUUUAAUAUAGGAGAUCUGACCUGCCCACUGAGAAAUUUUGAAGGGCCGCAGUAUUUUGACUGUGCAAAGGUAGCAUAAUCAUUAGUCUUUUAAUUGAGGGCUGGAAUGAAUGGUUGGACGAGGUAAAAUCUGUUUCAUAAUAAUUAGUUGAAUUUAAAUUUUAAGUAAAAAUGCUUAAGUGUUUUUAAGGGACGAGAAGACCCUAUAGAGUUUAAUAAGUGAUAUUUUUAUUAAGUUUAUUUUAUAAGUUUUUAAUUUUUAUUAAACUUAUUUGAUUGGGGUGAUUGAAAUAAAUAUAAAAAACUUUUUCUUUAUUUAAAUUGUUUAAUAAGUUUAUUGAUCCAUUAUUAUUGAUUAAAAGAUUAAAUUACCUUAGGGAUAACAGCAUAAUUAUUUUUGAGAGUUCUUAUCGAGAAAGUAGAUUGUGACCUCGAUGUUGGAUUAAGAUAUAAUUUGGGUGUAGAUGUUCAAAUAUUUAGGUCUGUUCGACCUUUAAAAUCUUACA